rnacentral:rRNA from 1 species
UACGGAGGGUGCAAGCGUUAUCCGGAUUCACUGGGUUUAAAGGGUGCGUAGGAGGGCAGGUAAGUCAGUGGUGAAAUCCCCGAGCUUAACUUGGGAACUGCCGUUGGUACUAUCUGUCUUGAAUGUUGUGGAGGUGAGCGGAAUAUGUCAUGUAGCGGUGAAAUGCUUAGAUAUGACAUAGAACACCAAUUGCGAAGGCAGCUCGCUACACAAUUAUUGACUCUGAUGCACGAAAGCGUGGGGAUCAAACAGG